rnacentral:rRNA from 1 species
UACAGAGGUCUCAAGCGUUGUUCGGAUUCAUUGGGCGUAAAGGGCGUGUAGGCGGCGCGGUAAGUCGGGUGUGAAAUCUCGGAGCUUAACUCCGAAACUGCAUUCGAUACUGCCGUGCUUGAGGACUGGAGAGGAGACUGGAAUUUACGGUGUAGCGGUGAAAUGCGUAGAUAUCGUAAGGAAGACCAGUGGCGAAGGCGGGUCUCUGGACAGUUACUGACGCUGAGGCACGAAGGUCAGGGGAGCAAACGGG